UUGAAUUUACGCAGAAUACAGGCAGUUUAAUUCUAGAACUUUGUAGCAUGUAGGCUCCCAGGUGUUAUAGAUAUCGCUGUAAAACUGAGUUCUCUCACUGAGUUCUCUCACUGAGUUCAGGAUUAUGUCAGUUAACCUAAAAGUGUCUUUCUUGGAUCAGAUGAAGCUGCCAGGCCUGAUUGAUCUUAGUCUCAUAUUUAUCCUGGUCUCUAAUUCAAAAGGUGACGACUGGUCUGUUAGUGUCGACAGAAUCAUUCAUGCAACAUUGGGUUCAAACGUGACUAUACCGUGUUCCUUUACCUAUCCACUCAAAUACCACACUGAAAAGGUUCAAGUUCACUGGAAAAAGAGCGGGGUAAAACAUAACCUUAAUAUCUUCGACAAAGACUCAAAUGCAUUUGUUUUUCACCCAAAUGACACAUUUGUGCUUGAGAAGUACAGAGGAAAGACCAAACUCACUGGAAAUAAAACCAAAGGUGACUGCACCCUUGAGAUCUUUAACAUCUCGGAGUAUGUGCCAAAUAUCUAUGUGAGAGUUAUUGCAAAAAACAAUUACAGUUUCUGGAAAGAUACUGUCACCAUUCAUGUGUCUGAGCCAGGUGGUAAACCAGUCAGUCUUAAGCCAGAUUUGAAAUCAGAACCAUCACCCAAAUAUGAAGCAACAACAACAGACAUGGCAGUUGUCACCACAGGGGGCAUGACCAGGGAGGCUUCACUGUAUACGGCUAUCUUUGUUCCAGUCGCUGCACUUCUGCUCAUUAUUGUUGUCGCUGCAGUCGUCUUUCGCAUAAAAAAAAGAAGGUCACAAUCUUUUACCAGGGAGGAAUCUGGAUAUUAUGAAAAUGUUAGCCGAGCAUCAUCAAACCAAGCCAAAAGGUUUGUUUCAUGAGAAGAAUCUUGCAUAAAACAAGACAACAAUACACUUUCUGAAGUGAAGGCCAUUGAUGAACCUGUCUACAUCAACAUUGAGGCCAUACCAGGUCAGAUGGAUCAACGUAUGGAUCACACAGACAAUAUAUAUGGAAAUGUGGAUUAUGAAAAAUAGCAGAAAAGCUGCAUCACAAAAAGACAACAAAUGAAUAAGAACUUAAAAUCAAGCAAUGGGGGCUUAUAUUUCAAAAGAGAAAUAAAAAAGGUAGAGCUGGGAGUCAAACUUACCUGCUCCAUGGCCCAUAUUAAAGGCUAGCAAUGUCCCCAUGUAGCUGUGAGCAUAACAUUGUCAUGACCAAAAGGGAUGAUAGUAAAUCAAUUAAAAUAUAACACAAGUUAAACAAUUUUUUUUUAUCUAAGCCUAUUGCCUUACCUUACAUGACAUAGGAUCCUCUGGUUGUUUUUUUUUUUUAUUGUUUAUAUGUUGCAGUCAGAGAUGGGAAGUAACGAAGUACAAAUACUUCGUU